rnacentral:piRNA from 1 species
UACUGCCCUAUCACCUCCCACAUGAGCAG